CUUCGGUGAACCACGUGCGUGAAUUUUCAUUUGCGUCGAACAUUUUGUGAAAGAUGGAUUGAACACAAUAUGGUUGAUGUGGAAGCACAUUGAAAUUAAACAACAAUUAAGGCAUUAUGUCUUGAAAAGAAGUGAGAGCCUCUUACAAGAUGGCGACGGGUGAAAUCCCCUGACGGCGUGGACCUAUAAAGUGAGGUUAUGUCUUGCACUUUGAAUGCAUUCUUCUUCAAAGUUGAAAAAAAAGAGAGACGAACUCCAACUUUGACCAGAUUCAUGUCGCAAUGCACUGUGUGCAGAAAUUGAAGUUUAUAUAUUCAUAAAUUUUAUUAAACAGAAAAAUUAUACAUAUGCUGAAUUAAAUGUGUUUUAUAUGAUUA